rnacentral:rRNA from 1 species
GAUGAACGCUGGCGGCGUGCCUAAUACAUGCAAGUCGAGCGAACAGACGAGGAGCUUGCUCCUCUGACGUUAGCGGCGGACGGGUGAGUAACACGUGGAUAACCUACCUAUAAGACUGGGAUAACUUAGGGAAACCGGAGCUAAUCCCGGAUAAUAUAUUGAACCGCAUGGUUCAAUAGUGAAAGACGGUUUUGCUGUCACUUAUAGAUGGAUCCGCGCCGCAUUAGCUAGUGGGUAAGGUAACGGCUUACCAAGGCAACGAUGCGUAGCCGACCUGAGAGGGUGAUCGGCCACACUGUAACUGAGACACGGUCCCGACUCCUACGGGAGGCAGCAGUAGGGAAUCUUCCGCAAUGGGCGAAAGCCUGACGGAGCAACGCCGCGUUAGUGAUGAAGGUCUUCGGAUCGUAAAACUCUGUUAUUAGGGAAGAACAAAUGUGUAAGUAACUAUGCACGUCUUGACGGUACCUAAUCAGAAAGCCACGGCUAACUACGUG